AGCAGCCGCGGUAAUUCCAGCUCCAAUAGCGUAUAUUAAAGUUGCUGCAGUUAAAAAGCUCGUAGUUGAAUUUCGGGACUAAUAUGUUGGUCGUGCCUCGGUACGUACUGAUAUUUUUGGUUUCUCCCUUCUGACGAACCUUGAUGUCAUUAAUUUGGUGUCUUGGGAAAUCAGGACUGUUACUUUGAAAAAAUUAGAGUGUUUAAAGCAGGCUCACGCUUGAAUACAUUAGCAUGGAAUAAUGAAAUAGGACGUUUGAUUCUAUUUUGUUGGUUUCUAGGAUUGACGUAAUGAUUAAUAGGGAUAGUUGGGGGCAUUAGUAUUCAAUUGUCAGAGGUGAAAUUCUUGGAUUUAUUGAAGACUAACUACUGCGAAAGCAUUUGCCAAGGAUGUUUUCAUUAAUCAAGAACGAAAGUUAGGGGAUCGAAGACGAUCAGAUACCGUCGUAGUCUUAACCAUAAACUAUGCCGACUAGGGAUCGGA
rnacentral:rRNA from 1 species